GUCAGGAUGGCCGAGUGGUCUAAGGCGCCAGACUCAAGUGGAAAACUUCCUCCGAAUAGAGGUUUCUGGUCCCCGAAUGGGGGCGUGGGUUCGAAUCCCACUUCUGACA
rfam:Sus scrofa chromosome 7.